CCUGGCGGCCGUAGCGCGGUGGUCCCACCUGAGCCCAUGCCGAACUCAGAAGUGAAACGCCGUAGCGCCGAUGGUAGUGUGGGGUCUCCCCAUGCGAGAGUAGGGAACUGCCAGGC
rnacentral:rRNA from 1 species